rnacentral:rRNA from 1 species
AGUGAACGCUGGCGGUAGGCCUAACACAUGCAAGUCGAACGGCAGCACAGUAAGAGCUUGCUCUUACGGGUGGCGAGUGGCGGACGGGUGAGGAAUACAUCGGAAUCUACUUUUUCGUGGGGGAUAACGUAGGGAAACUUACGCUAAUACCGCAUACGACCUACGGGUGAAAGCAGGGGAUCUUCGGACCUUGCGCGAUUGAAUGAGCCGAUGUCGGAUUAGCUAGUUGGCGGGGUAAAGGCCCACCAAGGCGACGAUCCGUAGCUGGUCUGAGAGGAUGAUCGGCCACACUGGACCUGAGACACGGUCCAGACUCCUACGGGAGGCAGCAGUGGGGAAUAUUGGACAAUGGGCGCAAGCCUGAUCCAGCCAUACCGCGUGGGUGAAGAAGGCCUUCGGGUUGUAAAGCCCUUUUGUUGGGAAAGAAAAGCAGCAGGUUAAGACCCCGCUGUUCUGACGGUACCCAAAGAAUAGCACCGGCUAACUUCGUG